UCUUUUUACAGACUGAGUGGAGGAGACACCAUCAAGCUGCUGAUCUGACGGACAUCCACAGGAACAAGCUGAUGUGCUUUGAGUCACCUCCACUGUAAAAACAACAACUGAAGUGGUGCCAACAAACCAAGCCUCUCUCUGCUUCAGCUAAAGGCUUGUUAACUUGUCGUCAGCUGUGGAACGCAGGAAAACCAGUUUUCAGCUGGCAGAAAACAAACUACAUCGUGCUUUUCAAAGCGUCGUCUCCACCGGUGUAAAGUCAGACACAGCAGGAUCCUGACGUUUCCUGGCAGACCUGAAAUUGAAUUGAAUGUGUCCGGGUCCUCCAUGCAGGUGUGUGUGCUGGGCUGCAGCUUCAUGCCUCCAUCUAGUGGACUGAUAGUAGAAGUCCAGCAGCUGAUGGCAGCUUCCUCUGCCUCACGCUGCUGUCUGACUGCAUUCAGCUGCAGCUGAUAUGAAACAGAAACUAGCAGCCAAUCAGUGGAGG